rnacentral:rRNA from 1 species
UUAUAUGGUCAAGAAGAGAAGCGCAAACGGUGGAUGCCUUGGCAGUAAGAGGCGAAGAAGGACGUGGAAUCCUGCGAAAAGCUAUGGGGAGCUGGAAACGAGCGUUGAGCCAUAGAUGUCCGAAUGGGGGAACCCGGCUGCAGCGAUGCGGUCAUUUGCAUUUGAAUACAUAGGAUGCAAAGGCGAACUCGGGGAACUGAAACAUCUAAGUACCCGAAGGAAAAGAAAUCAAGAGAGAUUCUCCAAGUAGCGGCGAGCGAACGGGGAGGAGCCUGGCGUGAUUUAUUAUUGAACUGAGUAGAACAAUUUGGGAAAGUUGGCCGAAGAGGGUGAAAGCCCCGUAUACGAAGGUUUGAUGAGGAACUAGGCACGCGAACAAGUAGGCCGGGACACGUGAAAUCCUGGUUGAAGAUGGGUGGACCAUC